GUAGUCGUGGCCGAGUGGUUAAGGCGACAGACUCGAAAUCUAUUGGGAUAUUCCCGCGCAAGUUCAAAUCCUGCCGACUACG
rnacentral:tRNA from 1 species